rnacentral:misc_RNA from 1 species
GAAUCCGGGAUACGGGGGCGGCGGCCUGUUCGAUCUCAGUGGCCGCUUGCUCGGCAUCCUCUACCUGAACCUCAACGAGAUCGGGCGCAACUCGUUGGCGAUCCCCGUCGACGCGUAUCAACUGCACGAGGACGAGCUGCUGCGCUACGGCCGCGUGGUCAGCCGUCCGCGGCGCGCGUGGCUGGGCGUGUUCGCGCACGCCCUCGAGGAGGGCGUAGUGGUGGCCGGCGUCGUGCCGGGCGGGCCCGGCGAGCGCGCGGGUAUCCGGGAAGGUGAUCUCAUCGUG